rnacentral:rRNA from 1 species
AUGAAUUUGGCAUUAUUGGCCAAAUGGUUUUGGAAGAUGGAAACUAAGGAGGGGUUAUGGCAGGAUAUACUCACUAGCAAGUAUCAAAAAGGGAAGUGCUUAGCCCUAAUAGCUAAGAGGCCUGGAGAUUCCCAAUUCUGGGGGAAUCUUAUGAGAAUUAAAGAGAUAUUUUACAAAUUUGUUAAGAAAGAACUAGGAGAUGGAAAAAAUACCAGGUUUUGGGAGGAUACUUGGGUAGAUGUUAAACCUCUAAAAGAAGCUUAUUCUAGAGUAUAUGAUAUAUUCUUUAACCAGAAUAUAACUGUGAAUGAGGCCAUUCAAAAAGGAUGGCAAGGGUUUAAAUUUAGAAGAACGUUACAUGGGGAAGUCCCGGGGCUUUGGAAUAGUCUUAAAAGUACAUGUGAGGAAGUGUCCAUGGGAGGUGGAAAAUACAAAAUCACAUGGACCCUUACUGCAGAUCAUAAAUUUACAGUUGGGUCAUUAUACAGGAAAUUAUCACUCUUGGUUUGA